AUAAACUCCUUUAAAUGGAAAAUACCGUGGUGGAGAUCGUCAUCGGUGGUGCAGGAAAGGAUUCAUUUGGAUAUUUGAGAAGAUCAUAGCCAUCAAGAAGAGCUUCGACUAAUUUAAGGGCAGAAGCUUGGUGACACUGCUAAGGUUGAUGCAAGUGAAUGGUUUUGAUAGCUUAUGAAGGUUGCUAAUAGAUGAAGAGUUGUCGUUGGCCAUGGGAGGCAAAAAGAAAAGGAAGGAUCGACGCC
rnacentral:lncRNA from 1 species